UACGGGGGGAGCAAGCGUUGUUCGGAUUUACUGGGCGUAAAGGGCGCGUAGGCGGUCGUGACAAGUCACUUGUGAAAUCUCCGGGCUUAACUCGGAACGGUCAAGUGAUACUGUCGGACUAGAGUACAGAAGGGGCAACUGGAAUUCUUGGUGUAGCGGUGAAAUGCGUAGAUAUCAAGAGGAACACCUGAGGCGAAGGCGGGUUGCUAGGCUGAUACUGACGCUGAGGCGCGAAAGCUAGGGUAGCAAACGGG
rnacentral:rRNA from 1 species